rnacentral:rRNA from 1 species
ACAUGCAAGUCGAACGAACCUUCGGGUUAGUGGCGGACGGGUGAGUAACGCGUGGGAAUCUGCCCUCAGGAGGGGGAUAACGGUUGGAAACGACCGCUAAUACCCCAUAUGCCGAGAGGUGAAAUGAAUUUCGCCUGAGGAUGAGCCCGCGUCUGAUUAGCUUGUUGGUGAGGUAAUGGCUCACCAAGGCAUCGAUCAGUAGCUGGUCUGAGAGGAUGAUCAGCCACACUGGGACUGAGACACGGCCCAGACUCCUACGGGAGGCAGCAGUGGGGAAUUUUCCGCAAUGGGCGAAAGCCUGACGGAGCAACGCCGCGUGAGGGACGAAGGCCUCUGGGCUGUAAACCUCUUUUCUCAAGGAAGAAGAUAUGACGGUACUUGAGGAAUAAGCCACGGCUAAUUCCGUGCCAGCAGCCGCGGUAAUACGGGAGUGGCAAGCGUUAUCCGGAAUUAUUGGGCGUAAAGCGUCCGCAGGCGGCCCUUCAAGUCUGCUGUUAAAGCGUGGAGCUUAACUCCAUCAUGGCAGUGGAAACUGAUUGGCUUGAGUAUGGUAGGGGCAGAGGGAAUUCCCGGUGUAGCGGUGAAAUGCGUAGAUAUCGGGAAGAACACCAGUGGCGAAGGCGCUCUGCUGGGCCAUUACUGACGCUCAUGGACGAAAGCCAGGGGAGCGAAAGGGAUUAGAUACCCCUGUAGUCCUGGCCGUAAACGAUGAACACUAGG